CAGCAGCCGCGGUAAUACGUAGGGUGCAAGCGUUAAUCGGAAUUACUGGGCGUAAGGCGUGCGCAGGCGGUUCGUUAAGACAGAUGUGAAAUCCCCGGGCUUAACCUGGGAACUGCAUUUGUGACUGGCGGGCUAGAGUAUGGCAGAGGGGGGUAGAAUUCCACGUGUAGCAGUGAAAUGCGUAGAGAUGUGGAGGAAUACCGAUGGCGUAGGCAGCCCCCUGGGCCAAUACUGACGCUCAUGCACGAAAGCGUGGGGAACAAACAGGAUUAGAUACCCCUGUAGUCCCUGUCUCUUAUAC
rnacentral:rRNA from 1 species